AUACUUACCUGGCAGGGGAGACACCUUGAUCAUGAAGGAGGUUUUCUCAGGGUGAGGCUCAUCCAUUGCACUGCGGGUGUGCUGACCCCUGCGAUUUCCCCAAAUGCGGGAAACUCGACUGCAUAAUUUGUGGUAGUGGGGGACUGCGUUCGCGCUUUCCCCUG
rnacentral:snRNA from 1 species